rnacentral:rRNA from 1 species
UUCGAUAGGUAGGUAGGUGGUGUGGGUUCGGGGAGCAGUGGAGGAGACAGGGAGAGGGUGCUCUGAGAGGAGUGGCGGCGGUGGAUGCCGCCAGCUAGGACCGGCUUAAGCCGCCGGCGGCCGUCGCGGGUCGUGUGGGUGCACUAGGGGAGCCGGGCGAGGAGGUAGAGGAGACCGGUCUAAGCUGCCCGCGCAGGAGGACGCUGGUACGCGUUUUGAGAGGUAGGUGAUCCCAAACCCGGUGGCGCAGCGUCUAGGCAGCAGCGAGCUCGUGGCCUACGGUACAUGCCCUACCGACGAAGGAGGGGACGGGUCUACGGUACCUCGCCGAUCUAGACCCGCACAUGCUGCUGCGGGUCACUCUGCCGGACCGGAUGGUGGGGCUUCGGUAUCGUUCCGCCCACUCCCUCCUCAUCUGGCGUCAGUAUACCCUCGGUUCUCCCUAGACUUCGCCAGCAGAGGAAGCUCGUGGUUCUGCCCAGACGCCACCUACGACCCAACCUCGAGCCCAGCUACCGCACCGGUACCUGUGCUGGAGGAACUGGAGCUGUCCGUUUCGCAGCCGUCACCUUGUAGACUAAGGACUUGGAAAAGAAGAGGAGAAAAUUAAAUUUCAAGAAUAAUCGAAUCAACAUCUAAAGAUUCGUACGGUAGAACAACACUAAUUAAUACAAUCAAAUCAAGAUCUAAAGCCAACGAUGAUGACAACGUAUUAACUGGGACUUAUAAGACAGUAGAGUAUACGAAGGUACCGGACGGAUGGUUGGACGAGCUCGUCAUUGUAUUUGGCUCAAUAAACUCGUUGGUUGGUUGUUGUUGCUAUCAUCGUGGUUGACACAAGGAUAAGAUGAGAGACAACCUCUGACUACUUACAAAUCGUGAAAUACCGUCGGGGUAUACGUUGUCCUCUGGUCGUUUUCGUCGCUCACUCUCGCCGACACUUACGUAUCAACCGCAGCUGCUGACGUAUCUCAUCACACUCGAUCCGAUGUAGACUACGCUCACCUUCUCGCACCGAAUAUCAGUUGAGGGUGUUACCAGACAGUGGAUCGAGAAAUUUAACACAAUUAAACGACAGUAGAUAUAAGUCUCAAUAUAUUCUCAUAACUAUAUAAACCUCAAUCAACAAUCGAAUAAGCAUGUUAUAUAUUCUUAUAUCUAUCUAAACCUCAAUCAAAAAUCGACGGUAGAUCGAGAAAUUUAACUCAACUAAACGAAUGACUUUAAUCCAGCUACGGAACAACAUGACAAAGAGAACUAUACAAACUACAAGUAGCUAGCAGGUCUAAAUGAUCGUGUGGUCUAUAUUUAGACCUGACUACGAUAAGUUAUCUAAAAAGAUCUGUAAAAUAACCUAGUACUCUACUAACCGCACCGUCCCACACAAACCGAUUGUAUAACGUAACCUUUAUAUAACAAGAAGUAGCGGAUUACAGUAACAACGUCUAUUAUCCCGUACAUCUAUCGUACAAUAAAACGAUCACCGAUUAAUACGAAUAACACAGAGUGUGACCUUUUAUUUACGUGUUACUCGAACAAACUGAAAAAGCUACAAUAUCAUAUGAACUAGUCCCAUCAGAUAAAGGACACUAGAAAAGAUAGUACACGUGUAUAAUUAAAAACAACUGAACUUAGACAAUACGGGAACUAAAAAAAAUGAAUCGAACUGGGUCUUGUCGUCGUAGGAACUAAAAAUGACUGGGGUGGAGCGAGAUCGAGAGCAUCUGGGUUUCCUCGAACAUACGUUACGUGGAGGAGAGACCACCACUCUCGCAUGUGCCCAGCACCCAGGCUGAUUAAAGGUACAAAUACCGGCGAGGACGGUGACGGGAGAGGAAUUCCUGUGUUGGUCUUUCUGCGAGUUAUUUAUCUAGCAGCAGGAGAGUUUCGCCUCCCCAGUCGAGUUCGCUAUCAGUCAAAGAUCAUAAGAGAUGGCACAGCUACACCGAACAAAUGGAGCAGGAACGAUGUGAACUAGCGUAAUGUACUAGAGACGAGCUCCUAGACUAUCUCUACCAAGUAAGUUUUAUCAUCUCAUAUACUAAGUACAAAACAAUAUCAAACAAACAAACAGGGUCAGGAGACAAAGUACCGACGAUACAAAGGAAAGGAUUAGCGUAACGUGUAUAAAAACCAUGAGUUUUACACUGUAAUAAGUCAGUUAAAGUCAGGGACAGCGUCAGGUUGUCCGUAACGAAACAGCAACCUGUGACCAUUAAUUCUCUCUCGUAACAUAUGAGAAACUAAUAAACAGAUAACUAACGAACUUCGUAGAUAGAAUGAUCGAAAAUCUUACCUCUUUGAGCACAGUAAAGUACAUACUAGACUUACUUUACUAAUCCUGAACAACAUCACGUAAAUAAACUAUAACAUAUAACAUGAUUUCUUUGUUGUAUACACGAGCACUUUUCAUGAUGCAAGAACAGACGAUGUACAAGGGUAAAUUCGAUGCACGGACUAAAUUUAAAGUUGUUACCAAACAAAACGUACGAAUGGACAAACCAUUUGAACCACGGUACGAAUAAAGUACAUCGAUUAUCAUUGGACGUUUUUUUAACAUUAACGGUUCUAACUAAACAAGACGAACGGACGAUGUUUGAAAAGCUUAUUGAUGAUGAAUUAAUCAUCGUACAUCUAAGCUAAUAAUAAAACAGUUGUAAGAUAAGGUCUCUAUAUACGUUUUAGUACACAACCGGUAGGGUACAUCGUUAGUGACGAUCAGACAUAACUCGUUUGUCACGUCGCGUGACAUCGAUUAGAGCACGUCGUCAACGGAGGGCCCUGCGUCCACACGCAGUACACGUCAAAUCUAAAAUGUCAGAAAGAAAGUUUUACAGUCCACAACAUAAUCAUAGUACUACAAUCGAAGAAUUUAAGACGAUGAUCCUGUAGAUAAGAACUUAUCAAACGAAUAUUUCAAAGGAUCAGUAAGUAUUGGUUGACGUUAUAUAACUACCUGUAUCAUGAGACGAGUACACAUCUAGAAAGAAAUUUACAGUCCGAUUGUACCUUUCACGAUACCUUGUUCUCCAUGGUCUUCCACUUCUUGGUUUCUCACUACAACAACGACUGGAAAAGAGUGAUUUCUUACCGGGAGAUCGUCUAAGGGAGUGACCUACACAACAAAACCAACCACGGUAAAAUACAAUGACCAAUGAUCACGUGUUAUACCUGUACACGGUAGAAUACUUGUACCCCAUUAUUAUGAUUCGAUGACCAACACAAUAUAACCAACCACGUAGAAUACUUGGAUACCACAUUACUAUGACAACCCGGAUUGAAUAACUUUAGGACCUCUUAAUAUAAUAAUAAUAGUAGUAAUAUAAGAGUACACAACCGACUGACGGUUUAACGG